rnacentral:other from 2 species
AGAACCCUGCUGUGUGCGUGAAGUCUCACCUAGUGUUUUGAGCCAACACCUAAUAGACGGGGGCCUGGCACUGCUGGGGCUGUAGUAACCCUUCGGGGUCAGGCAUUAACCAGCGGGCUGGCUCCCACCUGCGUGAGCAGGUUCAAAACUCAUUGAGACGCACGGCACAGCGGGGUAUCU